CCUACGGGAGGCAGCAGUGGGGAAUAUUGCGCAAUGGGGGCAACCCUGACGCAGCCAUGCCGCGUGAAUGAAGAAGGCCUUCGGGUUGUAAAGUUCUUUCGGUAGCGAGGAAGGCAUUUAGUUUAAUAGACUAGGUGAUUGACGUUAACUACAGAAGAAGCACCGGCUAACUCCGUGCCAGCAGCCGCGGUAAUACGGAGGGUGCGAGCGUUAAUCGGAAUAACUGGGCGUAAAGGGCACGCAGGCGGUGACUUAAGUGAGGUGUGAAAGCCCCGGGCUUAACCUGGGAAUUGCAUUUCAUACUGGGUCGCUAGAGUACUUUAGGGAGGGGUAGAAUUCCACGUGUAGCGGUGAAAUGCGUAGAGAGGUGGAGGAAUACCGAAGGCGAAGGCAGCCCCUUGGGAAUGUACUGACGCUCAUGUGCGAAAGCGUGGGGAGCAAACAGGAUUAGAUACCCCUGUAGUC
rnacentral:rRNA from 1 species